CGCCCUUAGAGUUUGAUCAUGGCUCAGAUUGAAUGCUGGCGGCAGGCUUAACACAUGCAAGUCGAGCGGUAGGAGAGCUUGCUCUCUACGAGCGGCGGACGGGUGAGUAAUGUCUGGGAAACUGCCUGAUGGAGGGGGAUAACUACUGGAAACGGUAGCUAAUACCGCAUAAUGUCGCAAGACCAAAGAGGUUCGUCUUGCCAUCAGAUGUGCCCAGAUGGGAUUAGCUAGUAGGUGGGGUAAUGGCUCACCUAGGCGACGAUCCCUAGCUGGUCUGAG
rnacentral:rRNA from 1 species